rnacentral:rRNA from 1 species
CAGUCGCCGCGGUAAUACGUAGGUGGCAAGCGUUGUCCGGAAUUAGUGGGCGUAAAGGGCUCGCAGGCGGUUUCUUAAGUCUGAUGUGAAAGCCCCCGGCUCAACCGGGGAGGGUCAUUGGAAACUGGGAAACUUGAGUGCAGAAGAGGAGAGUGGAAUUCCACGUGUAGCGGUGAAAUGCGUAGAGAUGUGGAGGAACGCCAGUGGCGAAGGCGACUCUCUGGUCUGUAACUGACGCUGAGGAGCGAAAGCGUGGGGAGCGAACAGGAUUAGAUACCCCCGUAGUCCCUGUCUCUUAUAC